AUUACAUUCAAAUCAAUUACAAUUUUUUUUUUAUUUUGUAUAUGUUGUAUGUACAAUGAGAUGCAUUAAUGAGAUCCUUUUUCGGUGUAACUAGUGCAAGUCACAGUAAUCUUAGCCAAUCAGACGAACUCACUAAGCCAAUGGCAACACAUGAUUGGUUAAACUGCUGGAGUUUCUACACCGAAAAAGGAUCUCAUUAAUGUACUUCAUUGUACAUAUAUACAUAAUAUAGCCAGUGAGGAUCACAAAAACGUGAACAUUAUCGAUGGGAAAUACAAAUUUUAUUUGAUAUUUAUCUCAAAUGGAUCACAUAAAAUUUGAAAAAAAAGAAAACUGGAGAAAUUUUCUGUCUACUUUUAUGCAUCGAGGUUGGAUAUGGCAAUUCUAGCUGCUAAAGUUGCAUAAUCUGGAUGUUGAUUGAUCAUAGUCGCCGCAGUUUCAGCUGCCAAGUUAUCCAAUUCGAUCGUUGUCACUCCAG
rnacentral:lncRNA from 13 species